GAUGAACGCUGGCGGCGUGCCUAAUACAUGCAAGUCGAGCGAACAGACGAGGAGCUUGCUCCUCUGACGUUAGCGGCGGACGGGUGAGUAACACGUGGAUAACCUACCUAUAAGACUGGGAUAACUUCGGGAAACCGGAGCUAAUACCGGAUAGUAUAUUGAACCGCAUGGUUCAAUAGUGAAAGACGGUUUUGCUGUCACUUAUAGAUGGAUCCGCGCCGCAUUAGCUAGUUGGUAAGGUAACGGCUUACCAAGGCAACGAUGCGUAGCCGACCUGAGAGGGUGAUCGGCCACACUGGAACUGAGACACGGUCCAGACUCCUACGGGAGGCAGCAGUAGGGAAUCUUCCGCAAUGGGCGAAAGCCUGACGGAGCAACGCCGCGUGAGUGAUGAAGGUCUUCGGAUCGUAAAACUCUGUUAUUAGGGAAGAACAAAUGUGUAAGUAACUAUGCACGUCUUGACGGUACCUAAUCAGAAAGCCACGGCUAACUACGUG
rnacentral:rRNA from 1 species